UUCCUUCUCUUCCCAAAUACGUGAUUCUCUCUCUCUUCUCUCCAAAUACGAUUUCUCCAAAUCCCUUUUCUCCAAAUUCGAUCUCUUCCCAAAAUCGAGCCUUCCUUCCAAAUACGAAUUGCGCAAAUCCCUAACUUUCCUUCACAAAGCAGGUAUCAGAUUUAGGCAAAUACGAAAUCGUCCCAUACCCAAACCCUAGAUUCGCGAUUCGCUGAUAACGAACAAAAGCCGAACUUCUCUCCAAAUCAGGUACGUUUAACUUAGUUUCAUAUAACUCGAAUUCGUGCUAAAAUCUCCCUGUUACAGCCCUUGACUGUCAAAUUCAAAUCCAUUCAAUUUUAGUAUAAUAGUUCGGAUGUGGCAGAGUUGGUGUGACACACGAUAAAAAAAAAAUUGUCCCGUGCUUAAUAAUCAGUAAGCAAGUUUACCUAUUUUGACUUUGUCAGCAUGUUUAAAUUUGACUUUGCUAUUUGGCUAAAUUUGACUUUGACUUUGUAAUUUGUUUAAAUGUAGAACUGGAGCUGGAGCAUGAUGAUGCUACUCAGGAUCCAGUGUAGAUGACGAUGAUAAUGAUUCACCCCCAGGUGCAACUGAGAUUAUGAGGUAAAGUAUUUUCCUAUGUUCAAGUCAUUCUAAACUAUUAGAGGUACUAAAGUAUUUUCCCAUGUAUUCAGUUUUCUAACUUUUUGUCGUACAGUAACAGGGACGCUGAACCUGGUCUUGAAUAGCCUGAUGGAGUUUAUUAGAGGUAAGAAACAAGCUUUUAAGGAUUUCACUGCAGGAACCUGGUCUUGUAUUCAGUUGGUUUCAGUUAAAUUUGUCACUUCUCAGUUCAUUUUUGGUAGCAAAAACUAGCUGGGCAGUGUAUGUAUAUUAUAAACCUGUAAACCAUUCCCUUUGAGUUUAUGUAAACAAAAAUGAACUGAAAAAAUGAACUGUUAUAAUAGCUGGGCAGUGUUUUCUGUAAACUGUAAUGGUACUCUUUGUUUUUCCUAAUUUAUGUUCUACUUUUAAGGAUUUCCUUGUCAAGUGCACAUACAGCUUAUGAUAUCCUUCUUGUAAACUGCCCACUAAACUAUGGAGUGGAUUCACUUUAUUGCAGUUUAUUCAUUUGUGCAAGUCAUUCACAUUAUUGCAGUUUCAGUUUCUAUAAAUUUACUUUAUAAUGAAGUUAGAAUGCAGUUUCAGUUUCAGUCAUUCACAUUAUUGCAGUUUCAUUCACAUUAUAAUGGAGUUUCAGCUUCUUUGUAAUCUGUGAUCUAUUAUUUGUUCACAAUCUUUGUAAUCUGUCAUUCACAUUAUUUGUUCUUCUGUUAUUCAGGUCAUGGAACAUAAAGGUAUGGUGAAUUAAGCAAAUUUCUCUCCAAUGAAGCUGCUGCGGUAAUGAAGCUGCUGCCAGUCUUAUAGAAGCAGGCAUUACUAUAUGGGAAGCUGCUGUUUUGUGUUCCUUGGUUUUCCAUCUUAAUUUGCAUUUAUGUUUUCGUGAGAUUGCCCUGUUUAGUAUACUUCUAGAUCCUAGGAGCUAAAUAUAUAUAGAGAGAGAGUAAGUGGCAAAAUUCCAAUUGAGUAAGUGGCAAAAUUCUGCACAAUCUUGUAUUUGGCUUAUGUAUUGAGUAAGCGGCAAAAUUCCAGGCAAAUAAGAAGACAAAAGAUUGCAAU
rnacentral:lncRNA from 1 species